CCUACGCGAGGCUGCAGUGGGGAAUAUUGCACAAUGGGCGCAAGCCUGAUGCAGCCAUGCCGCGUGUGUGAAGAAGGCCUUCGGGUUGUAAAGCACUUUCAGCGGGGAGGAAGGCGGUGAGGUUAAUAACCUCAUCGAUUGGCGUUACCCGCAGAAGAAGCACCGGCUAACUCCGUGCCAGCAGCCGCGGUAAUACGGAGGGUGCAAGCGUUAAUCGGAAUUACUGGGCGUAAAGCGCGCGCAGGCGGUCUGUCAAGUCGGAUGUGAAAUCCCCGGGCUCAACCGGGGAACUGCAUUCGAAACUGGCAGGCUAGAGUCUUGUAGAGGGGGGUAGAAUUCCAGGUGUAGCGGUGAAAUGCGUAGAGAUCUGGAGGAAUACCGGUGGCGAAGGCGGCCCCCUGGACAAAGACUGACGCUCAGGUGCGAAAGCGUGGGGAGCAAACAGGAUUAGAUACCCCGGUAGUC
rnacentral:rRNA from 1 species